ensembl:lncRNA
CUGCAGGGUGUUUGAUCUUAAAAUAAUUUACUUAAUGAUCUCACCAUGGGAGCAAUUGGCAGAGCAAGAUUAGGCUGUAAGGCCUAAUGGACAUGGGAAAAGUUAAAAUUGCUCGGAGAAAGAGGUAUUCCCGCUGGCCUAGAACCAUCAUCUCAUCCAGAAGACACAUAAAUUCCACCCAGGUUUUGGGACACAGAGUGAAGUCUGCUCAGAUCCAUCUGUCUCCUUACUAUUUCAACCAAUAUACUCCCUCCUACAAAAAGUAUGUCUUCAGAAAGUGCACUCAGGUUGGAAAAGUGUGGAAAGAGCAGAUGAACUUAUUGUCAGUGGCCAUAUGAUCCCUCACUGUUCAUUGUCUUCAUCACUAAGUAAGACCCUCCAGUUAAGGCACUCACUCACACACUUUGGCUUCUCC